UAGUAUUUUAUUUUUUUGUUAAAAAGACUGGGUCCCGCUGUAUUGCACAGGCUGCUCUACAACGUCUAUUCACAGGCGCGAUCCCACUACUGAGCGGCACGGGGGCUUUGGCCUGCUCCGUCUCCGGCCUUGGCCGAUGCACCCCUCCUUAGACGACCUGGUGGUCCCGAGCUCCCUCAGGAGCACCAUAUCGAUACCGAACUUAGUGCGGACACCCGAUCGGCAUAGUCCGCUGCAGCUCAGAUCUCCUGAGCUCAAACGCUUCGCCAGCCUCAGCCUCCCAGUAACUUGGAUUACAGGCGCGCGCCACCGCACCCGGCGAGAAAUAGUCUCGCUCAUAGGGUAUUUGUCUUGGACAAACGUGACGUCAUCAAGCAGCAAACUGGAGUGGCAUCUAGUGGCGGGAAAUAACACUGCAGCCAAAAAACAUGUUUAUAUUUGUCUGUAAUUUGUCACUCUUUUACAUAAACAAUCUGAACACAGCUCCAUAAAACCGAUAAAGAAGAAGACAAAAAAAAAAAACGUUGCCAACAGAUGCAUUGUGGGUGUAGUGUAGCUACAAUGCUAACGUGAAUGGUGGCUCCUCAGGUGGAUCCUGUGUCCACUGCAGAACCUUCCCUUCAGAGAGGUGUGUGAGAGGACUCUGUAUUUGUGACUGCAGAGAUGUAUUCAGCUCAAAAUGUUUGAAAAACUCAAAGGCCGAGAUGACUGAGCCUGGAGCAGGACUUCCUCAUACAUUUAAAAACAUGCGAUUCAUCAAACAGAACAGUUGGAGAGAGAGGCGAAGACAUGCAGCUGAGGGUCACAAGGAGGAUUUGAUACAGUGCCCCUGCAGUAAGGACACACUCUUAGGAGGAAACCAGGUGUAUGACGGCUGCUUCUGCUCCAUCUGCGUCGGCCGCUGAUGAGUAAAGCCAUGAAAUAGAUCCAGCUGGAGAUGUGUGGAGCAGACUGAGGCCUCCUGGGAAAUCAUCCACACCUCCACCAGCACCGUGUCCACUUCUUUAGCACCCCUGAGAGCUAUCAAUAAGUGGGUAAUUGAAUUUUAAGCACAAACACUGCCGUCAAAAGCGCUGCCUGGAGUGUGUGUGGGGGGGAUGUUUAGCGGUGUGAACACGGUGGGGCUGUCGUCGGGCCCUCUGGGGGUUUGCACAGGAAGGAUGAAUGUUUAAUCCAUUAAAUAACAAUUACUGCCUGUAAUGGUCCAGAGUGGCUGCUGGAGGAAGGGAGGCAGCAUGGCUGAACUGCCCACGUGCCUGAAAAUGAGUUUGCUUCUUCAUGACACAAAGCAUCUCCUCAUCGCUGUGGUUCAGGGAACCAGCUUGAGACUCAAUGAAGCUUUGUGAUGAUGGUGGAAAAUGGGACGGGUUUUAGUAUGGAGGGAAUCUUGAGAAGUUCUGCAGUAUUGGAAACAUUUACCGAGGAGGAUUUUAGGGCUUGUUCAAAUGUUGAAUUUGACUAUUUUAGGGCCAAUGUAUGUGUUCCUGGCUGUGUGGAGAAGGGUUUUUAAAUGUUUUUGUUGAAUUGCUUGGAUUGCACAACUUUAAUACUUCCCUAAGGGGAAACUAGCUUGAAUACUCUUGCAAAAGGACAUAUAACAAACCAGUCAGACUGGUAACUGUUACAACUCCAAGAGGAUGUUAGCUCAGGAGCCUUCCUGAACAUUUUUUAAAACAAUGACAGUUACAAAGUAAUCAUAAUCUAAAAAUGAAAUUCUUAAAUGAAAAAGGGGAAAUACAUGUAGACACCAAAAAUUGAUUUCAGGAAUCCAACAAGUAUACACUUUUUACUAAAAAUACUACACACAGUUGACACCUAACCUAACUCUCUUACCAAACAUUUAUUA